ACGCACGUUGGCGGCGUGCUUAACACAUGCAAGUCGAACGGAAAGGCCCUGCUUUUGUGGGGUGCUCGAGUGGCGAACGGGUGAGUAACACGUGAGUAACCUGCCCUUGACUUUGGGAUAACUUCAGGAAACUGGGGCUAAUACCGGAUAGGAGCUCCUGCUGCAUGGUGGGGGUUGGAAAGUUUCGGCGGUUGGGGAUGGACUCGCGGCUUAUCAGCUUGUUGGUGGGGUAGUGGCUUACCAAGGCUUUGACGGGUAGCCGGCCUGAGAGGGUGACCGGCCACAUUGGGACUGAGAUACGGCCCAGACUCCUACGGGAGGCAGCAGUGGGGAAUAUUGCACAAUGGGCGGAAGCCUGAUGCAGCAACGCCGCGUGCGGGAUGACGGCCUUCGGGUUGUAAACCGCUUUCGCCUGUGACGAAGCGUGAGUGACGGUAAUGGGUAAAGAAGCACCGGCUAACUACGUG
rnacentral:rRNA from 1 species